rnacentral:rRNA from 1 species
AGAGUUUGAUCAUGGCUCAGGAUGAACGCUAGCGGCAGGCUUAAUACAUGCAAGUCGUGGGGCAGCAUGUCCCGCAGCAAUGCGGGAUGAUGGCGACCGGCAAACGGGUGCGGAACACGUACGCAACCUUCCUUUAAGUGGGGGAUAGCCCGGGGAAACCCGGAUUAAUACCCCGUAAUAUUAUGGAGUGGCAUCACUUUAUAAUUAUAGCUCCGGCGCUUAAAGAUGGGCGUGCGUCUGAUUAGGUAGUUGGCGGGGUAAUGGCCCACCAAGCCUACGAUCAGUAACUGGUGUGAGAGCACGACCAGUCACACGGGCACUGAGACACGGGCCCGACUCCUACGGGAGGCAGCAGUAAGGAAUAUUGGUCAAUGGACGCAAGUCUGAACCAGCCAUGCCGCGUGGAGGAUGAAGGUCCUCUGGAUUGUAAACUUCUUUUAUCUGGGAAGAAACCCAUAGUUUCUACUGUGGUUGACGGUACCAGAUGAAUAAGCACCGGCUAACUCCGUGCCAGCAGCCGCGGUAAUACGGAGGGUGCAAGCGUUGUCCGGAUUCACUGGGUUUAAAGGGUGCGUAGGUGGGCAGGUAAGUCAGUGGUGAAAUCUCCGGGCUUAACCCGGAAACUGCCGUUGAUACUAUCUGUCUUGAAUAUCGUGGAGAUGAGCGGAAUAUGUCAUGUAGCGGUGAAAUGCUUAGAUAUGACAUAGAACACCGAUUGCGAAGGCAGCUCGUUACACGGUUAUUGACACUGAGGCACGAAAGCGUGGGGAUCAAACAGGAUUAGAUACCCUAGUAGUCC